CAACGAGUCGCAAGACCGCGAGGUUUAGCAAAUCUCUUAAAGCCGUUCUCAGUUCGGAUUGUAGGCUGCAACUCGCCUACAUGAAGUCGGAAUCGCUAGUAAUCGCGGAUCAGCAUGCCGCGGUGAAUACGUUCCCGGGCCUUGUACACACCGCCCGUCAAGCCAUGGAAGCCGGGAGUGCCUGAAGUGCGUGAGCGCAAGCAGCGCCCUAAGGUAAAACCGGUGACUGGGGCUAAGUCGUAACAAGGUAUC
rnacentral:rRNA from 1 species